rnacentral:rRNA from 1 species
AAGUCGAGCGGACCGACGGGAGCUUGCUCCCUUAGGUCAGCGGCGGACGGGUGAGUAACACGUGGGUAACCUGCCUGUAAGACUGGGAUAACUCCGGGAAACCGGGGCUAAUACCGGAUGCUUGAUUGAACCGCAUGGUUCAAUCAUAAAAGGUGGCUUUUAGCUACCACUUGCAGAUGGACCCGCGGCGCAUUAGCUAGUUGGUGAGGUAACGGCUCACCAAGGCGACGAUGCGUAGCCGACCUGAGAGGGUGAUCGGCCACACUGGGACUGAGACACGGCCCAGACUCCUACGGGAGGCAGCAGUAGGGAAUCUUCCGCAAUGGACGAAAGUCUGACGGAGCAACGCCGCGUGAGUGAUGAAGGUUUUCGGAUCGUAAAACUCUGUUGUUAGGGAAGAACAAGUACCGUUCGAAUAGGGCGGUACCUUGACGGUACCUAACCAGAAAGCCACGGCUAACUACGUGCCAGCAGCCGCGGUAAUACGUAGGUGGCAAGCGUUGUCCGGAAUUAUUGGGCGUAAAGCGCGCGCAGGCGGUUUCUUAAGUCUGAUGUGAAAGCCCCCGGCUCAACCGGGGAGGGUCAUUGGAAACUGGGGAACUUGAGUGCAGAAGAGGAGAGUGGAAUUCCACGUGUAGCGGUGAAAUGCGUAGAGAUGUGGAGGACCACCAGUGGCGAAGGCGACUCUCUGGUCUGUAACUGACGCUGAGG